AAACAACACAUUAAGUGGUGGAGGGAUAGUAAAUGUACCUUUCUUACAUAGCCCUGAAGCAGACAAAAGAUCUGAAGGCAAAUUGUAACACAGGCCACUAGAACCCUUCUCCAGUAUUAAGUAAUUUGUGUACAGGAUGUGGAUUGUAACCAGGACCUCAACUCUUAAAUGAGAAAGAAAAAAGGAAGAAGGGAAGAGGAGAAGAUAGAGAAGUGGAAAGAAAACCAUGAAAAGAAGGAAAAUGCAAAAACCAACUUCCAAAAAACUUUUGAUGUUUCUCAACUGUCUACAGAAUAA
ensembl:lncRNA